GAUGAACGCUGGCGGCGUGCCUAAUACAUGCAAGUCGAGCGAACAGACGAGGAGCUUGUUCCUCUGACGUUAGCGGCGGACGGGUGCGUACCACGUGGAUAACCUCCCUAUAUGACUGCGAUUACUUCGGGACCCCGGGGCUAAUACCGGAUAAUAUAAUCAACCGCAUGGUUCACUAGUGAAUGACGGUUUUGCUGUCACUUAUAGAUGGUUCCGCGCCGCAUUAGCUAGUUGGUAAGGUAACGGCUUACCAAGGCACCGAUGCGUAGCCGACCAGAGAGAGUGAUCGGCCACAGUGGAAGAGAGACACGGGCCAGACUCCUACGGGAGGCAGCAGUAGGGAAUCUUCCGCAAUGGGCGAAGGCCUGACGGAGCAACGCCGCGUGGGUGAUGAAGGUCUUCGGAUCGUAAAACACUGUUAUUAGGGAAGAACAAAUGUGUAAGUAACUAAGCACGUCUUGACGGUACCUAAUCAGAAAGCAACGGCUAACUACGUG
rnacentral:rRNA from 1 species